GGGCUACCCGAAGUGGUGGAGGGGCUGGUCUGUGAAACCAGUGUUAGCGAGUUUCUCCUAGUGGAGACGCUUCGCGAACGACUCUCGUCAGUCACCCCA
rnacentral:tRNA from 1 species